AGGGCGGGCCCCGCGGCCGCGAGGAAUCCCGACUCGGGCGCGCCCCCUCUCGCGCGUCCUCAGCCACUCGGGGAGGAAGGGGUGUGAAACAUGAUAAUGACAGACCGGGCUCUCGGCCGGCCAGGCUCCUACUCUCGCUGGCUCAACGGCUAUUUCGGGAGACCCGUCCGUGCCAGGCGCAGUCGGCAGCGGUGAACGCGACAGGCGAGAGCCCUCUUGUGUGCCCGAGCCUGUGCUCACGGAGUGUUUUCCUGGGCAUUUAACCUUCCCGGCAAGCCCCUGGGGGCCAGGUCCUGUGGCUAACCGUUUAUGAUGAGGAUACUGAGCUUCCAAGGAGGUGCAGAGGCUUGUCCAAAGCCACAGAACUAGAAAGCGAUCAGGUUAGGUGUCAAACCCAGGCGGUCUGCACCUGACCGGUCCGGACCCUGGGGAAAUAGAGCCAGGAAUUAUAACGACAGGGAAAACAACCUCGGAGAAGUGAGGAGCUUGGCCAAGUUCUCAGAACUAGAAAUAGAUUACCAAGCCAACAGACCAGAGCCUACACUCCUGGCCACUAACUUCCAGGUUACAGGUAAAUCUUGUCCCAAAAGACCGUAAAGGGAUGCUGGGAAAAUAAAUGAUGCACCUGGGUGCAGGGGCUGAAAACAAAGAAGCCCAAUAAAUAUUUGCUGAAUGAA